CUGCACUGUUCUUGUGAUAGUGAAUGAGUAUCAUGAGAUCUGAUGGUUUUAAAAAAUGGGAGUUUUUUUUGCACAAGCUCUCUCUUUGCUUGCUGCCAUCCACGUAAGAGGUGACCUGCUCCUCAUUGCCUUCAGCCAUGAUUGUGAGGCUUCCCCACCUUGUGGAAUUGCAUCUGAUGUGGGCAGAAGAGAAAAGAAAGAACUUGGUUCCUCUUGACCCCGUGGUCUGCUGAAUUAACCAACCCUGAAGUUUGAUUCAGCUUUGGACUUUCUGCUAUGUAAGAGAUUAAAAUUCCUUUGUGCUUAAGCCAGUUUGAAUUUGGUUUUGUUGCCAAAAAACAUUCUCACUGAUGUUAUCUGCUAUUAUUUCCAUGGUGCCAAAAAUUUUGACACAGCUUUAUUCUGUACCUACGUGGCUGCUUGGGUAAGAGGAAAUGCAUGGUUUUUUGUUUUGUUUUGUUUUGUUUUUUCACCGUUAUAGUCUUCCUUUAUUGGCUGUCCUUGUAUAAUACAAACCUGUAAGUUUAGAUUAAAAACAAAAUCUGGAAAUAAAAGGUGGAAAAGUACCCACCAGGCACCCAUCCUUCUUCCCAGACCCCUCCCCAGUGGGCACUGACAUGAGGUGACUGCACAUUUUCUCCCAUCACUCACUGCCACCUGGGCCCCCAACUUGGCCCCAGCUCCAGAAAUUCAUGCUUUUUGACCUAGAUUACCAUAAAUGAACAAAGUUUCUAAAUUGGAAGUCCUAGCAUUAGCCAGUACUGUUUUCAACUCUCAUUCUAUCCUGCUCCCUCAUCCUUUAUUGAAACUGCUCACCUGGCGUAGCCCUGCUAAAAAGAGAGGCCAUGUUUUUAACAAAGAAUGUUGUUAUGAUCUCUAGCAACCAGGUGAUUUAAGAGUCUGGGCAGCAUAUCUGCAUUCCCACAUCUGUUGCAGCACUGUUCACAACAGUCAAGAUUUAGAAGCAACGUAAGUGUCUAUCAACAGAUGAAUGAAUAAAGUGUGGUGUGUAUACACAAUGGAGUACUAUUCAGCCAGAAAGAGAAUUAGAUCCCGUCAUUUGCAACAACAUGGAUAGCAUUGGAGGUCAUCAUGUUAAGUGAAAUAAGCCAGGCACAGAAAGAUAAAUGUUGCAUGUUCUCACUUAUUUGUGGGAGCUAAAAAUUAAAACAAUUGAACUCACGGAGACAGAGAGUAGAAGCAUGGUUACCAGAGCCUGGGAAGGGUAGUGAGGGAGGUGGAGGGAAAUUGGGGAUGAUAAAUGUGUGCAAAAAGUAGUUAGAAUGAAUAGGACCCAUUUAAAAAUAACUAAAAGAGUAUGAUAGGAUUGUUUUUAAUACAAAGUAAAUGCUUGAGAUGAUGGAUACCCCAUUUACCAGGAUGUGAUUAUUACGCAUUUCAUGCUUGUAUCAAAGUAUCUCAUGUAUCCCAUAAAUAUGUUCACCUACUAUAUAGUCAUAAAAUUUGAAAAUUAAAAAAAAGAGGCUGGACAAUUGUCUCAACUGAACCAAUUGUAUUC
rnacentral:lncRNA from 1 species